UGGAUUAUCAUCAGCUAAGCAAGGCCCUGGAGGCCAAAACCUCAGUCUCUAAAUUAUACAUGCUGAAUGCCUAUGCUUUUACUGUAUUGUUGAGGCAAAGCCUGCACAGUGGUUUCAGGGACAUUAAACACGAAAGAAAAGUUGUAUCAUAGCUGCUACUUGCCCAGUGAUUCCACCUUAAUCUUGGGACUAGCAGGUAUUCUAGACAUGCCAAGUCCCUAGCAGGGAGGGAGGGAUUUGUAAUUGUUGGCAGAGGUGCCAGUGGGGUCAGUCAGUUGCUAAAACAUUAAAGCAUAUAAAAGCAGGGAAUUGUGAUCCUCCUGGAAGAAUACACGCUCUGCACAUGAGAGGAAGCAGAUGCAUUCUCAGGAGGUGGGUGUCACUCUUGCUUGUGUUACUCACUUUUCUGACACUUCCUCUGUUUAGUGUCUACCUUUUUCUCAUGAUUUCACUUUCAAAGCUACCUGUGCACAUUACCAGAUGGUUGACUUUCUGUCUACAUUUUUUUUCCAGGAGGCGUUCAGAGUCAAAGUUUAAGUGAAAACACCCCUGAAUUUGGCUUAACACCUGACAUUGUCUGGAUUACUUCAGGGCCUAUUGUCCAGGAACAGAAGCUGGGAAAUAUUUUGGUUGCCUGUUUCUCUGUUGCUGGUACUGCUGCUCCACACUCAGACAGAAGCUGAGAUGCAGGGUGGCUGCAGAGAAAGAGGAGUGUCUCUCACUGACCAAAGCUGAAGAAGGAUGAGAAGGCUUGGCACAGGUUGAUUCCAAGCAGAGGAGGAGGAGACAGAUGCAAAUGCACUGCUGCUCGUGGUGUUCUGUUAUGCUCUUCCACAGCAAAGCCCUUAGCUGUCAUCUAGGCAUGCAUAAAUAUAUUGGUUUAUUUAUACAUCACCACUGACUACAGUAACUCAUUAUUUUAUCUGCCUUGCUUGAAAUGAUGAUUCUUUUGAAACAAAUGCAGAAGUUAUACAAACAAACAAACAAUCAAGAAAAAUCAAACAAAAAAGCAAGCCAGAAAGUCCCCAGCCAAGCAAAAGAAUGCUACAACUCUAAAACUGAGACAGA